UGGAACGCUAGAGGGGAAAAGUCACACACCCCCGGUUUCGGCGAUUCGUCACAACAAGCGCCAAAAAAGCCGAGACUCCGCACCGGCGAAAAACGGCACAGACGGCAACAUACAUCUAGAGCUGGGGGAUUCCGGCGCCCCGAGCAUUCCGAAUGAAACACCCGAGAGACCUGUUUUUAAUGACAUGUCAGAUGUUGAUGACCAGCUAUUCUGUGAUGCGGCCAACCUUAUAGACCCAGUCAAUUCUACGGCCUCAAUACCUGCAGACGAACAAGAAAGGUUUUUCACAUUAUUUUCCAGGGCUUUGAAAUCGAGGAAUGUUUUGCUAUACAAACGACUGGGGGAUUUAAUUGAGAGACAGUACAGAGACGAUAUGUUAUUCUGGCAUAGAACAAUUCCACGCAUGUUAAACAGCAACCCCAUUAAAAAACGCAAAUACAGACGCUAAAAUCAUACAUGUAACACCAACCAUUACAGAAAGA